AGUGAACGCUGGCGGCGUGCUUAACACAUGCAAGUCGAACGAUGAUUAAGAGCUUGCUCUUAUGAUUAGUGGCGCACGGGUGAGUAAUAUAUAGGUAAUGUACCCCAAAGACCGGGAUAGCCACUGGAAACGGUGAUUAAUACUGGAUACACCUUUUAGAUUUAAGUCUAGAUGGGAAAUGUUUUUUCGCUUUGGGAUCGGCCUAUAUCCUAUCAGCUAGUUGGUGAGGUAAGAGCUCACCAAGGCAAUGACGGGUAGCGGGUUUGAGAGGAUGAUCCGCCACACUGGUACUGAGACACGGACCAGACUCCUACGGGAGGCAGCAGUGAGGAAUAUUGCACAAUGGGGGAAACCCUGAUGCAGCAACGCCGCGUGGAGGAUGACGCAUUUCGGUGUGUAAACUCCUUUUAUAAGGGAAGAAAAUGACGGUACCUUAUGAAUAAGCAC
rnacentral:rRNA from 1 species